UACGUAGGGGGCUAGCGUUGUCCGGAAUCAUUGGGCGUAAAGGGUGCGUAGGCGGGUCUUUAAGUCAGGGGUGAAAUCCUGGAGCUCAACUCCAGAACUGCCUUUGAUACUGAAGAUCUUGAGUUCGGGAGAGGUGAGUGGAACUGCGAGUGUAGAGGUGAAAUUCGUAGAUAUUCGCAAGAACACCAGUGGCGAAGGCGGGUCUCUGGACAGUUCCUGACGCUGAGGCACGAAGGCCAGGGGAGCAAACGGG
rnacentral:rRNA from 1 species